rnacentral:rRNA from 1 species
UACAGAGGUCUCAAGCGUUGUUCGGAUUCAUUGGGCGUAAAGGGUGCGUAGGCGGCGCGGUAAGUCGGGUGUGAAAUCUCGGAGCUUAACUCCGAAACUGCAUUCGAUACUGCCAUGCUUGAGGACUGGAGAGGAGACUGGAAUUUACGGUGUAGCGGUGAAAUGCGUAGAUAUCCGUAGGAACAUCCGAGGCGAAGGCGGCUCGCUGGAUCACAACUGACGCUGAGGGACGAAAGCUAGGGGAGCAAACAGG